AUAGAUUCUCUUGGCAUUGAGUGGUAACCACUGUUAGGUUAGGUUAGGUUAUAGUGGCUGUCCAAGAUGGAAACGGACACACUUAGGCCAGUUUAAUGGCCCAUUGUGAUACCACAUGAAUCUUGAGGCUUCCUUCUAAGCUCAAUGAAAC